AGGCUCCAAAAAGGUAUGUGAGGUGCUUUUGGAAAGCCCCGGGGCACCGUGGCUGGGGUUCACAUUGGCCAAUUAUCAUGUCCAUCCGCCUUGAACCCAGAGAACAAGGAGCAUGUGAUUAAGGCCCUGCUCAGGGCCAAGUUCAAGUUUCCUGGCUGCCAGAAGAUCCACAUCUCACAGAAGUGGGUCUUCACCAAGUUCAGUGAAGAUGAAUUUGAAGACACGGUGGCUGAGAAGUGGCUCAUCUGAGAUGGGUGUGGGGUCAAGUACA
rnacentral:lncRNA from 1 species